GGGUUUGAAACUACUUUGAUUAUCAUUUGCUGAAAGCUCGACUGCUGCUCCGCCCUCCAAAUUAGCUACAUUUUUGUUAUACAGAAAACUGUCCAAAUCGCGGCUAUAUCCGGGAGGAUACUCACAAUUCGUCGAUCAAUCAACUUGCAUAGACCAAGGCUAUCAACAGGCCAAAGAAGAUCAAAGCUGUCCUUGUGGAUUCCAAGCUCCCAGAUUGAUGAUUUCAAGGCACAGCAAUCGAUUCUAAGGACUUUCACAAUUCCAACAAGGAUAUUCUUUCCAGGAUCGGACUUUAUAUGCUCCAGAUAUAGCCAAUUUAAUUUUAAAUAAGCCAAAAAUAUUAUUUAUGCUCUAAACUGUUUAAUU